CUUGAGGGUGCCGUAGAAGCCCAUGGUGUCGGCGCGCUUCCCCUUGCGCGGCUGCGGUGCACCGCGGGCCCGGCGGCCGGGCAGGCGCUGGCAGUACAGCCCCUUCUCCGGCAGGUGCUUCCAGUCUAGAAACUGUACAACAGCUUGCCUGCCUCUACGAGAAACACAGCACUGCAUAAUUUAGGUUCCAAAAAUGAAUGGGAACUUUACUCUCAGAACACCAGAAGCCAUAAAGACAACACACAAAGAACUGGGAAUGUGAUGGACCAAGUAAUAAGAGCAUAAGCCUGAAGUUCAGUACGUGCUUCUUUCCAUUAUCAGUGUAUGGUAAUUUUCUGCUAUUUUCUGCAGAGGCUUCUUUGAAGAGAACACUGAAGAGUGAUUAUAUGUCCAAACCUUAAUAAAAUGUCAAAAUCCACUGCCUCAUUGUAUCUGCAAAUUGUGAUGAUUUCCUUCCUACACAUGGGAUAGGAAAGGAUACAAUUUUGCAUUCAUGGUGUUCCAAGUACUAUGUUUUAAUUUGCGGCUUGUUGCAUAUAAGUUAUUUGCCAACCAGAAAGGCGUUAUUAUAACAUCACAUUUUAAUAAAAACGGCAUUUUUGUUCUUAAAAAUACUGCUUCAGAUCUUGAAUAUACUUCUAGAAACUGAAGAU